UACGGGGGGGGCAAGCGUUGUUCGGAAUUACUGGGCGUAAAGGGCUCGUAGGCGGCCAACUAAGUCAGACGUGAAAUCCCUCGGCUUAACCGGGGAACUGCGUCUGAUACUGGAUGGCUUGAGUUUGGGAGAGGGAUGCGGAAUUCCAGGUGUAGCGGUGAAAUGCGUAGAUAUCUGGAGGAACACCGGUGGCGAAGGCGGUUCUCUGGGAAUAUCCUGACGCUGAGGAGCGAAAGUGUGGGGAGCGAACAGG
rnacentral:rRNA from 1 species